GCGGACAUAGUUCAUCGGUAGAAUCAUAGCUUCCCAAGCUAUUUAGGCGGGUUCGACUCCCGUUGUCCGCU
rnacentral:tRNA from 1 species